UUCCGUUAAUUGAUUAUGACGUACUUGUACUGAUUGAGAUUUUAACACGAAGUGAGUGGCGAACGGGUGAGUAACACGUGGGUAACCUGCUCAGAAGUAGGGGAUAACACCUGGAAACAGAUGCUAAUACCGUAUAACAGAGAAAACCGCAGGGUUUUCUUUUAAAAGAUGGCUCUGCUAUCACUUCUGGAUGGACCCGCGGCGUAUUAGCUAGUUGGUGAGGAAAGGCUCACCAAGGCAGUGAUACGAGCCGACCUGAAGGGAAUCGGCCACAUUGGGACUGAGACACGGCCCAGACUCCUACGGGAGGCAGCAGUAGGGAAUCUUCCACAAUGGACGCAAGUCUGAUGGAGCAACGCCGCGUGAGUGAAGAAGGGUUUCGGCUCGUAAAGCUCUGUUGUUAAAGAAGAACGUGGGUAAGAGUAACUGUUUACCCAGUGACGGUAUUUAACCAGAAAGCCACGGCUAACUACGUGCCAGCAGCCGCGGUAAUACGUAGGUGGCAAGCGUUAUCCGGAUUUAUUGGGCGUAAAGCGAGCGCAGGCGGUCUUUUAAGUCUAAUGUGAAAGCCUUCGGCUCAACCGAAGAAGUGCAUUGGAAACUGGGAGACUUGAGUGCAGAAGAGGACAGUGGAACUCCAUGUGUAGCGGUGAAAUGCGUAGAUAUAUGGAAGAACACCAGUGGCGAAGGCGGCUGUCUGGUCUGCAACUGACGCUGAGGCUCGAAAGCAUGGGUAGCGAACAGGAUUAGAUACCCUGGUAGUCCAUGCCGUAAACGAUGAUUACUAAGUGUUGGAGGGUUUCCGCCCUUCAGUGCUGCAGCUAACGCAUUAAGUAAUCCGCCUGGGGAGUACGACCGCAAGGUUGAAACUCAAAAGAAUUGACGGGGGCCCGCACAAGCGGUGGAGCAUGUGGUUUAAUUCGAAGCUACGCGAAGAACCUUACCAGGUCUUGACAUCUUCUGACAGUCUAAGAGAUUAGAGGUUCCCUUCGGGGACAGAAUGACAGGUGGUGCAUGGUUGUCGUCAGCUCGUGUCGUGAGAUGUUGGGUUAAGUCCCGCAACGAGCGCAACCCUUAUUACUAGUUGCCAGCAUUAAGUUGGGCACUCUAGUGAGACUGCCGGUGACAAACCGGAGGAAGGUGGGGACGACGUCAAAUCAUCAUGCCCCUUAUGACCUGGGCUACACACGUGCUACAAUGGAUGGUACAACGAGUCGCGAGACCGCGAGGUUAAGCUAAUCUCUUAAAACCAUUUUCAGUUCGGACUGUAGGUGGCAACUCGCCUACACGAAGUCGGAAUCGCUAGUAAUCGCGGAUCAGCAUGCCGCGGUGAAUACGUUCCCGGCCCUUGUACACACCGCCCGUCACACCAUGAGAGUUUGUAACACCCAAAGCCGGUGGGGUAA
rnacentral:rRNA from 1 species